AACGAACGCUGGCGGCAGGCCUAACACAUGCAAGUCGAACGCCCUAGCAAUAGGGAGUGGCAGACGGGUGAGUAACACGUGGGAACCUUCCCUAUAGUACGGAAUAGCUCAGGGAAACUUGAAGUAAUACCGUAUACGCCCGAGAGGGGAAAGAUUUAUCGCUAUAGGAUGGGCCCGCGUCGGAUUAGCUAGUUGGUGAGGUAAUGGCUCACCAAGGCGACGAUCCGUAGCUGGUUUGAGAGAACGACCAGCCACACUGGGACUGAGACACGGCCCAGACUCCUGCGGGAGGCAGCAGUGGGGAAUAUUGGACAAUGGGCGCAAGCCUGAUCCAGCCAUGCCGCGUGAGUGAUGAAGGCCCUAGGGUUGUAAAGCUCUUUUAGCAGGGAAGAUAAUGACUGUACCUGCAGAAUAAGCUCCGGCUAACUUCGUGCCAGCCGCCGCCGUAACAC
rnacentral:rRNA from 1 species